CACCUACCUUGACCUCCCAAAGUGCUGGGAUUACAGAGCAGAGAAGAGGAUGUAGGCCUGUGUACACAAUGCGAUUGCAGCCAUUCGUUUUUGAACUGCAGACAUGGGACUGGAACCACACAACGACACUGUUCCUAUUAGUUCCCUUGAGUCAUCCAUAUCCUGCAAAGAGCCUCAAUCCCUUGCGUGAUGAUGAGAAAAGGUCGAAAGGUCUCCUUCUACAGAUCUGGGAGCCAGUUGCUUUCCUGAGGCACUUCAAGUACAGACCAAGAGAAAAGUCUACCAAGGAAAGGGAGACGAACAAGCUGAGGACACCGAAGAAUCUUGUUGGGAUCUGCAGAUAGCAAGAAGAAUCUUUAAUAAAUAAGACUCCCAUUAAAAA